rnacentral:rRNA from 1 species
CGAUGUCGGCUCAUCGCAUCCUGGGGCUGAAGCAGGUCCCAAGGGUUGGGCUGUUCGCCCAUUAAAGCGGUACGCGAGCUGGGUUUAGAACGUCGUGAGACAGUUCGGUCCCUAUCCUCUGCAGCCGGAGGGAUCUUGAGAGAGGCUGUUCCUAGUACGAGAGGACCGGAACGGACGUAGCUCUCGUGUGCCAGUUGUCCUGCCAAGGGCAUGGCUGGUUAGCGACCUACGGAAGAGAUAACCGCUGAAGGCAUCUAAGCGGGAAGCUCGUCUCGAGAUGAGGAUCCCCACCGGGUCAACCGGGUAAGGCCCGUGGUAGACCACCACGUUGAUAGGCCGGAGGUGUAAGCGCAGUGAUGCGUUCAGCCGACCGGUACUAAUCGGCCGAGGGCUUGGUAUC